rnacentral:tRNA from 1 species
GGCCCCGUAGCUCAGUGGAUAGAGCGGCAGACUUCGAAUCUGCGUGCGGUGGUUCGACUCCACCCGGGGCCA